GAGCGAAUAGCUUAAAUUUUAAAGCAUGACAUUGAAGAUGUUAAGAUAGAAAUACACCUUUUGCUCA
rnacentral:tRNA from 1 species